rnacentral:rRNA from 1 species
UGCUAGCGGUCCAAGUCGCAGCCAUUUUUAUUGGGUCUAAAACAUCCGUAGCUUGCUUAAUAAGUUUCUUGUGAAAUUUUAUGUCUUAAACAUAAAGCGCGCAUGAAGUACUAUUGAGCUAGAGAUUGGAAGACGUAAGAAGUACGGCAAAAGUAACGGUAAAAUGUGUUAAUCUUUGUCGGACUAACAAUAGCGAAGGCAUCUUACGAGUACAGUUCUGACAGUAAGGGAUGAAGGCUAGGGGCGCAAAACGGAUUAGAUACCCGCGUA